rnacentral:rRNA from 1 species
UACAGAGACUGCAAGCGUUAUUCGGAUUCACUGGCGUAAAGGGUGCGCAGGCGGCCAAGUGUGUUAGGCGUGAAAGCCUGGGGCUUAACCCCAGAAUUGCAGCCUAAAACUACAUGGCUAGAGGCAUUGGAGAGGGUAGCGGAAUUCAACGGUGUAGCAGUGAAAUGCGUAGAGUAUCGUGAGGAACACCAGAGGCGAAGGCGGCUACCUGGGAC